GACGAACGCUGGCGGCGUGCUUAACACAUGCAAGUCGAACGGAAAGGCCCUGCUUUUGUGGGGUGCUCGAGUGGCGAACGGGUGAGUAACACGUGAGUAACCUGCCCUUGACUUUGGGAUAACUUCAGGAAACUGGGGCUAAUACCUGAUAGGAGCUCCUGCUGCAUGGUGGGGGUUGGAAAGUUUCGGCGGUUGGGGAUGGACUCGCGGCUUAUCAGCUUGUUGGUGGGGUAGUGGCUUACCAAGGCUUUGACGGGUAGCCGGCCUGAGAGGGUGACCGGCCACAUGGGGACUGAGAGACGGCCCAGACUCCUACGGGAGGCAGCAGUGGGGAAUAUUGCACAGUGGGCGGAAGCCUGAUGAAGCAACGCCGCGUGCGGGAUGACGGCCUUCGGGUUGUAAACCGCUUUCGCCUGUGACGAAGCGUGAGUGACGGUAAUGGGUAAAGAAGCACCGGCUAACUACGUG
rnacentral:rRNA from 1 species